AUUGAACGCUGGCGGCAGGCCUAACACAUGCAAGUCGAGCGAGCGGCGGACGGGUGCGUAAUGUAUGGGAACCUGCCUGAUGGAGGGGGAUAACUACUGGAAACGGUCGAUAAUUCCGCAUACCCUCAGUUGUGCCCAGAUGGGAUUAGCUAGUUGGUGGGGUAACGGCUAACCCAGGCGACGAUCCCUAGCUGGUAUGAGAGGGUGACCAGCCACACUGGAACGGAGACACGGUCCAGAAUCCUACGGGAGGCAGCAGUGGGGAAUAUUGCACAAUGGGCGCAAGCCUGAUGCAGCCAUGCCGCGUGUGUGAAGAAGGCCUUCGGGUUGUAAAGCACUUUCAGCGGGGAGGCGUUACCCGCAGAAGAAGCACCGGCUAACUCCGUGCCAGCAGCCGCGGUAAUUC
rnacentral:rRNA from 1 species